ACUCAAAUGAAUUGACGGGAGCCCGCACAAGCAGUGGAGUAUGUUGUUUAAUUCGAUGCAACGCGAAGAACCUUACCAGGUCUUGACAUCCCGCGAAGACGGCGUAAUGGCCGUUGUGCCCUUCGGGGAGCGCGGAGACAAGUGGUGCAUGGUUGUCGUCAGCUCGUGUCGUGAGAUGUUGGGUUAAGUCCCGCAACGAGCGCAACCCUUACGGAUAGUUGCUAGUUGGUUAACCCCAAAAGCACUCUAUUCGGACUGCCGUUGACAAAACGGAGGAAGGUGGGGAUGAUGUCAAAUCAUCAUGCCCUUUAUGAUCUGGGCUACAAACGUACUACAAUGGCGCGAACAGAGGGGAGCGAAGUGGCGACACGAAGCAAAUCCCAAAAACGCGUCCCAGUUCGGAUUGCAGGCUGCAACCCGCCUGCAUGAAGUCGGAAUUGCUAGUAAUCGCGGGUCAGCAUACCGCGGUGAAUACGUUCCCGGGCUUUGUACACACCGCCCGU
rnacentral:rRNA from 1 species